rnacentral:rRNA from 1 species
GACGAACGCUGGCGGCGUGCUUAACACAUGCAAGUCGAACGGAAAGGCCCUGCUUUUGUGGGGUGCUCGAGUGGCGAACGGGUGAGUAACACGUGAGUAACCUGCCCUUGACUUUGGGAUAGCUUCAGGAAACUGGGGCUAAUACCGGAUAGGAGCUCCUGCUGCAUGGUGGGGGUUGGAAAGUUUCGGCGGUUGGGGAUGGACUCGCGGCUUAUCAGCUUGUUGGUGGGGUAGUGGCUUACCAAGGCUUUGACGGGUAGCCGGCCUGAGAGGGUGACCGGCCACAUUGGGACUGAGAUACGGCCCAGACUCCUACGGGAGGCAACAGUGGGGAAUAUUGCACAAUGGGCGGAAGCCUGAUGCAGCAACGCCGCGUGCGGGAUGACGGCCUUCGGGUUGUAAACCGCUUUCGCCUGUGACGAAGCGUGAGUGACGGUAAUGGGUAAAGAAGCACCGGCUAACUACGU